rnacentral:rRNA from 1 species
CCUACGGGGGGCAGCAGUGGGGAAUAUUGGACAAUGGGCGAAAGCCUGAUCCAGCCAUGCCGCGUGUGUGAAGAAGGCCUUCGGGUUGUAAAGCACUUUCAGUGGGGAAGAAAGCCUUGGGGCUAAUACCCUCGAGGAAGGACAUCACCCACAGAAGAAGCACCGGCUAACUCCGUGCCAGCAGCCGCGGUAAUACGGAGGGUGCGAGCGUUAAUCGGAAUUACGGGGCGUAAAGCGCGCGUAGGCGGUCUGAUAAGCCGGUUGUGAAAGCCCCGGGCUCAACCUGGGAACGGCAUCCGGAACUGUCAGGCUAGAGUGCAGGAGAGGAAGGUAGAAUUCCCGGUGUAGCGGUGAAAUGCGUAGAGAUCGGGAGGAAUACCAGUGGCGAAGGCGGCCUUCUGGACUGACACUGACGCUGAGGUGCGAAAGCGUGGGUAGCAAACAGGAUUAGAUACCCGUGUAGUC